rnacentral:rRNA from 1 species
AUUAAACGCUGGCGGCAUGCCUUACACAUGCAAGUCGAACGGCAGCACGGGGGCAACCCUGGUGGCGAGUGGCGGACGGGUGAGUAAUACAUCGGAACGUGCCCUGGAGUGGGGGAUAACGCAGCGAAAGCUACGCUAAUACCGCAUAUUCUGUGAGCAGGAAAGCAGGGGAUCGCAAGACCUUGCGCUUUGGGAGCGGCCGAUGUCGGAUUAGCUAGUUGGUGGGGUAAAGGCCUACCAAGGCGACGAUCCGUAGCGGGUCUGAGAGGAUGAUCCGCCACACUGGGACUGAGACACGGCCCAGACUCCUACGGGAGGCAGCAGUGGGGAAUUUUGGGACAAUGGGCGGAAGCCUGAUCCAGCCAUGCCGCGUGAGUGAAGAAGGCCUCGG